rnacentral:rRNA from 1 species
GACGAACGCUGGCGGCGUGCUUAACACAUGCAAGUCGAACGGAAAGGCCCUGCUUUUGUGGGGUGCUCGUGUGGCGAACGGGUGAGUAACACGUGAGUAACCUGCCCUUGACUUUGGGAUAACUUCAGGAAACUGGGGCUAAUACCGGAUAUGAGCUCCUGCUGCAUGUUGGGGGUUGGAAAGUUUCGGGGGUUGGGUAUGUACUCGCGGCUUAUCAGCUUGUUGGUGGGGUAGUGGCUUACCCAGGCUUUGACGGGUAGCCGGCCUGAGAGGGUGACAGGCGACACUGGGACUGAGGUAAGGCAGAGGCUGCGAAGGGAGGGAGAAGUGGGGAAGAUUGAACAAUGGACGGAAGCCGGAUGCAGAAACGCCGCGUGUGGGAUGACGGCCUUAGGAUUGUAAACCGAUGUGGCCGGUGACGAAGAGUGAGUGACGGUAAUGGGUAAAGAAGCACCGGCUAACUACGUG